UAGGGAAUCUUCGGCAAUGGACGAAAGUCUGACCGAGCAACGCCGCGUGAGUGAAGAAGGUUUUCGGAUCGUAAAACUCUGUUGUUAGAGAAGAACAAGGACGUUAGUAACUGAACGUCCCCUGACGGUAUCUAACCAGAAAGCCACGGCUAACUACGUGCCAGCAGCCGCGGUAAUACGUAGGUGGCAAGCGUUGUCCGGAUUUAUUGGGCGUAAAGCGAGCGCAGGCGGUUUCUUAAGUCUGAUGUGAAAGCCCCCGGCUCAACCGGGGAGGGUAAUUGGAAACGGGGAGACUUGGGUGCAGAAGAGGGGAGUGGAAUUCCAGGUGUAGCGGUGAAAUGCGUGGAUAGAUGGAGGAACACCAGUGGCGAAGGCGGCUCUCUGGUCUGUAACUGACGCUGAGGCUCGAAAGCGUGGGGAGCAAACAGG
rnacentral:rRNA from 1 species